rnacentral:rRNA from 1 species
ACUCCUACGGGAGGCAGCAGUGGGGAAUAUUGCACAAUGGGCGCAAGCCUGAUGCAGCAACGCCGCGUGAGGGACGAAGGCCUUCGGGUUGUAAACCUCUUUUAGCAGGGAAGAAGCGAAAGUGACGGUACCUGCAGAAAAAGCACCGGCUAACUACGUGCCAGCAGCCGCGGUAAUAC